GCAUUCUCUCAUGGACACUUCCUGGGGCAGCCUUUUGCAAAUUGCUCACCUAACAAUCGAGAAAAUGAGGAAGGUGUUUACUUCAAAAUAAUCUUAGAAAUUGACAACAUGAAAUGCUUGUAGAUCAAAUGAUUAUCAGAAGACCAAGGAGUCAGGAAGAAAGCUACAGAAGAUAGAAAGGACCAAGUUUAAUCUUCCUGUAAAUUCUAAAUCCUGCAAUGUACACAUCAGACUGAACAAACAAGAUUAAAAGGUAACUGCCUCUACUGAAGAAGGGAGAGUCAAUAGCCUUUGGAAAGAUGCUCAGGAGGGAAUCAGGUGGGGGAAGAGAGAGAAAGAGAGGAGAUAUUGAUGAGAGGAACGCCUAGUACACCAGACCCACUAGUUCAGAGAUAUGUUAGGGAUGUUGCCUCCAUCCUCUCUCCUAACUCUCAUAUUGACUCAUAAGAGCAAACAAAAGCCAAACUUGACAAAUGGGAUCUACUUAAACUAAAGAGUUUCUGCACAGCAAAAGAAACUACCAUCAGA
rnacentral:lncRNA from 1 species